CGACACGCCGGACUCCAGCUCCUCCAGCAGCGUCUUCACCUCCUCCUCGCUGCCGGCGGCGGCCCCGCUCGGCUCCUCGAACCGGACCCUCCUGCCGGCGUCGAUCUCGCUGCACGACGGCGGCGCCGAGCCCGCGUCCACGUGCGCCGGGAUCACCGACAGCUCCCCGGACCCGGACACGCAUCCUCCCGCCUUGGCGGCGGCGGCGGCGUCCUGCAGCUGCAGGAACUCCACCACCUUCAUCAGCAGCUGGUUCUCGAAGUUGAAGUGGUCCCGCCGCCCUUCCUUGUACCCGUAGCGCACGACGCAGCGGAACAUCCGGUGCGCCGGCGCGCCGACCCGCCCCACCAGGAACCGCUCGCCGGGGGGCACACGGGGCACCGCCAGCGUCUGCAGGGACACGAAGACCAGCACCCGGUGGAACGCCGGGAAGUUGGUGACGAAGUGCGCGAACACGGGGGGCACGCCGCCAGCGGCGGCGCUGGCGGCGUAGACGAAGCCCACCCCCGGGACGCGCACCAGGCCCAUGCCGGCGCUCAGGCCCAGGAACCGGUCCAGGCGCACCUUGCUCUGCGCCUCGUGCUCCCGCUUCCUCUUCGUGCCGUAGUGCCACGUCGACAUGGCCAGCAGCGUGCCCAGCGACAGCAGCAGCGGCAGCCACCCGCCGUGCGGCACCUUGGCGAGGCACGCCGACAGGUACGUCAGCUCCACGGACCCGAACCCCGCCGUGAAGAGCGCCGCCAGCGCCACGCUCCGGCUCCACACGACCGUGAUGACGAGGAACAUCAGGCAUGUGGUCGCGAACAUCACCAGGAUCACGGCGAGCCCUGGUGGGACAAGGGAUCAGUAGAAAUGUUGCAGAUUUUGCAGCAGUUCUGCGUCGCAGGAGAACCUACGAAUGGAAAUUGGUACGUACCGUAGGCGUUUCCGAUCAUUUCGGUGUCGCGGAAGCCGACGGUGACGGCCAGGCACAGGAACAUGAGGGCCCAGUUCACCUCCGGUAUGUAGAUCUGGCCGUGGACGUGGCUGGAUGUGUGCACGAUCUUUAUCCGCGGGAAGCACCCCAAAGCCCUGGACUGGCUUAUGAUCGAGAACGUAGCUGAGAUGAUGGCCUGGCUCCCAACGACUGUGGCUAGUGUUGCGAUGAUCAGGACAGGCCAGAACACUCUGUCUGAGAAAAGAAGAGAAGAACAGAAAGAGAUUGAGGAAAAUUACAAGAAUAAUUUUAGGUACUUCCAUUCAGCUACAUAAGCAUUGCCACCUCACCUGGGAGAGCUUUGUAAAAGCUGCUCUGUAGGUCCUCUCUAUGUUUAGAUAGAUAAGCAGCCUCACCCAUGUAAGCCAGGACUAAGCAUGGAUACACAACUAUUGUGAAUCCAAGCUGCCAUUGCAAAGCAAAAAAAAAAAGGAUUCAGUGAAGUUUUUGACACAGUUAAAGACAGAAGAUUGGCACAUCCAGUCCAGCAAGUAAAGCA
rnacentral:misc_RNA from 1 species